rnacentral:rRNA from 1 species
AUUCUAGGUGUAGCGGUGAAAUGCGUAGAUAUCUAGAGGAAUACCAGUGGCGAAGGCGACCCCCUGGACAAAGACUGACACUCAUGUACGAAAGCGUGGGGAGCAAACAGGAUUAGAUACCCUGGUAGUCCAUGCUGUAAACGAUGUCGACUUGGAGGUUGUUUCCUUGAGAAGUGGCUUCCGAAGCUAACGCAUUAAGUCGACCGCCUGGGGAGUACGGCCGCAAGGCUAAAACUCAAAUGAAUUGACGGGGGCCCGCACAAGCGGUGGAGCAUGUGGUUUAAUUCGAUGCAACGCGAAGAACCUUACCUGGUCUUGACAUCCAUAAAAUUUUUUAGAGAUAAAAAAGUGCCUUUACCGGAAUUAUGAGACAGGUGCUGCAUGGCUGUCGUCAGCUCGUGUUGUGAAAUGUUGGGUUAAGUCCCGCAACGAGCGCAACCCUUGUUCUCUGUUGCCAUCAGGUUAUGCUGGGAACUCAGAGGAGACUGCCGGUUAUAAGCUGGAGGAAGGUGGGGACGACGUCAAGUCAUCAUGGCCCUUACGACCAGGGCUACACACGUGCUACAAUGGCAUAUACAAAGAGAAGCAAAUCUGCGAAGACAAGCAAAACUCAUAAAGUAUGUCUUAGUUCGGACUGGAGUCUGCAACUCGACUCCACGGAGUCGGAAUCGCUAGUAAUCGUGGAUCAGAAUGCCACGGUGAAUACGUUCCCGGGCCUUGUACACACCGCCCGUC